GACAGAGGGGGCAAGCGUUGCUCGGAAUUACUGGGCGUAAAGGGCGCGUAGGCGGCCCCCUGAGUCCCGCGUGAAAUCUCCCGGCUCAACCGGGAGGGUGCGCGGGAUACUGGGGGGCUGGAGGGCAUCAGAGGGAAGCGGAAUCCCCGGUGUAGUGGUGAAAUGCGUAGAUAUCGGGGGGAACACCAGUGGCGAAGGCGGCUUCCUGGGGUGUACCUGACGCUGAGGCGCGAAAGCGUGGGGAGCGAACCGG
rnacentral:rRNA from 1 species